rnacentral:tRNA from 1 species
AUUCUGUUAGUGUUACACACGUAAAGCUUUGAUCUUUAAAAAAUAAAUUAUUUAUACAGGGGAC